CCUACGGGUGGCAGCAGUAGGGAAUAUUGCUCAAUGGGGGAAACCCUGAAGCAGCAACGCCGCGUGGAGGAUGAAGGUUUUCUGAUUGUAAACUCCUUUUGUUAGAGAAGAUAAUGACGGUAUCUAACGAAUAAGCCUCGGCUAACUCCGUGCCAGCAGCCGCGGUCAUACGGAGGGUGCAAGCGUUACUCGGAAUCACUGGGCGUAAAGAGCGCGGAGGGGGGAUAGCAAGUCAGCUGUGAAAUCCUAUGGCUUAACCAUAAAACUGCAUUUGAAACUGUUAUGCUAGAGUACGGGAGAGGUAGGUGGAAUUCUUGGUGUAGGAGUAAAAUCCGUAGAGAUCAAGAGGAAUACUCAUUGCGAAGGCGAGCUGCUAGAACAUAACUGACGCUGAUGCGCGAAAGCGUAGGGAGCAAACGGGAUUAGAUACCCGGGUAGUC
rnacentral:rRNA from 1 species